CGGGGUUCGCAGAGUGAGCACCAUAGAGCCAGCCCGGCUGAGCGCAGCGGCCUAGAGCGCCGCGCUCGCCUCCAGCGCCCUCCGGCGGCCGACGCGCGCCAGCCACGCUGCGGGGCCGUUGUUGACCCAAAGGGGAGCGGGAGGCGGGAGCCUGGGGAGCGUGUGUGUGUAACUGUAAUUUCCGGCGUGUCUGCAACAAAGAGAUACGUGUCCCGAGUAGAGGCCAGCAACACUCACACCUACGCCUGUGCACACACCACAACACGUGCGCACGCACAUGCAAACACAUAUGCACGUGCGUGAACACCCACUAUUCAAGUCUAGCCGACUGUAUUGGCGUGGACACAAGCGUUUCCGAAAGAAGCAGAUACCUUCGUGUGUGGCUCAGACGCAUGCUCCUCUCCACACACAGAGAGUGUUCCCUCAGGGGGAAUAAGGCAACGCUUCAGAAAGGAAAACUUUCGAACUGGUAAAGGGGAGAUAAAAGGAAAGCCCCUUUUCUCCGAAGGUGCAGACUCGACUCCCUCCUGUAUCUGUCGCCAGUGGAUUAAUUUACAGUAAGGGUGUCCCGCCCUCCUUGUGUAACGUAAAUAAAAUAAAGAGAAGACAAGGUGAUAUGGUGCAAACAAAGGCACAGCGGAUGCUAUGCACCGACGCGAGGCCUAGGGCCUUCAACUCUCUGGCUGAUUGGGAGCCUUUGAAGAGGACCACUGGGGAGUCCUGACAACUGGUGGACUUUGUCGCAGGCGGGGAGACCUUCUGGGAUGAUGGACACCAGGAAAGUUGCAGGAUUCCCUCACAGGUGUGGCCUUCACAACAUCCUCUGGCAAGGAGUUCCACAGGUUGACUGUGCGUUGUAUGAAGAAAAUACUUCCUUUUGUUUGUUUUAAACCUGCUGCCUAUUAAUUUCAUUUGGUGUCCCUUAGUUCUUGUGUUAUGAGGAGUAAAUAAAACUUCCUUAUUUACUUUUUCCCCACCUGUCAUGAUUUUAUAGCUCUCUAUCAUAUCCCCCUCUUAAUCAUCUCUUUUCCAAGCUGAAAAGUCCCAGUCUUAUUAAUUUCUCCUCAUAUGGAAGUCAUUCCAUACCCCAAUCAUUUUUGCUGCCCUUUUCUGAACCUUUUCGAAUUCCAGUAUAUCCUUUUUGAGAUGAGGUGACCACAUCUGCAAGCAAUAUUCAAGAUAUGGGCGUACCAUGGAUUUAUAUAGAGGCAAUAUGAUAUUUUCUGUCUUAUUAUCUAUCCCUUUCUUAAUGACACCCAACAUUCUGUUCGCUUUUUUGACUGCCGCUGCACACUGAGUGGAUUUUUUCAGAGAACUAUCCACAAUGACUCCAAGAUCUCUUUCUUGAGUGGUAACAGCUAAUUUAGACCCCAUCAUUUUAUAUGUAUAGUUGGGAUUAUGUUUUCCAAUGUGCAUUAGUUUGCAUUUAUCAACAUGCACAAAAAACAUACCCAAAUUCACAAGGACUUGUACAGGUGCUCACAUGCACACUUCUGCACAGUCACAGUGAUAAACACGCAGACAAAUGCACAAGCACACACACGCACACGUGAGUGCACACAAACAUAUGUAUGCACACACACCCACAUAAAAGUGUACAUAUGCCACGUGCAUAAUCACAGAUGGGUACAUACAUGCACAGAUGAAGACAAGCACAGAAAUACAAAAAUGGAUACAUGCAUACAUGCAAAUACACAUACAUAAGAACACGCAAAGAUACAUGCAUACAACAUCCUCCUACAUACACACCUUGUAGUCUCUUUGCUUCAUAGAAGACUUUGAAAAUUGGACACUUGAUGAUUUCACGUGGAAUAAAAACAGCUUUAAGGAACUUAAACAAAAUUCAGACAUCAUACUUUAUGACUCAGGAGGUAUAUAAUCUGUUGCUCUUGACAACAACUAAAAUUCAGAGAGUAUGAAAAGAACAAAAUACUAGCAGAAACAACAUUAUCUGGACCCAGUGAAACAUUACGUAGAUAACUAAAGUAGCCAACCCUUAAGG